rnacentral:rRNA from 1 species
UACGAAGGGGGCUAGCGUUGCUCGGAAUGACUGGGCGUAAAGGGCGCGUAGGCGGUUCGUACAGUCAGACGUGAAAUUCCCGGGCUCAACCUGGGGGCUGCGUUUGAUACGUGCGGGCUUGAGUUCGGAAGAGGGUCGUGGAACUCCCAGUGUAGAGGUGGAAUUCGUAGAUAUUGGGAAGAACACCGGUGGCGAAGGCGGCGACCUGGUCCGAUACUGACGCUGAGGCGCGAAAGCGUGGGGAGCGAACAGG